CAGGGUAAGGUGCUACGGUAGCAUCGCCGACUUGGACUCGGCAGGAGAAGGUCCGACUCCUUCUACCCUGAC
rnacentral:tRNA from 1 species